GACAGAGGUGCCGAGCGUUAGGCGGAAUCCCUGGGCUUAAAGCGUGUGUAGGCGGAUCGUUAAGUACCUUGUGAAAUCCCACGGCUUAACCGUGGAACUGCUGGGUAUACUGGCGAUCUUGAGGUGCUCAGGGGCGAGCGGAACAGAUGGUGGAGCGGUGAAAUGCGUAGAUAUCAUCUGGAACGCCUGCGGUGAAAACGGCUCGCUGGGAGCAAUCUGACGCUGAGACACGAAAGCCAGGGGAGCGAACGGG
rnacentral:rRNA from 1 species